UGAUUUCGCACCACUGACAUCACGGCCACUGAUCCAAUUAGCACAUAUAAACGGCUAACUCCCGCCUCUCGCUCCUUCCUUCAUUGAUGAGCUAGAGAGGUGGGUGCACCUAUUGGCUGUCGGCGAAAGCAUCUUUUUUUGGAAUCUAUAGAUGUGGGUCAGCGUCGUUUUGUUUGUCCGGUUCGGAGUUCCUCCACGUGGGCUACUAGGAAAGGAACGGAGCAUGUUUUGGCGUUUUAACUCAAGUUUAGAAGACCAUCCUUAUGUGGCUUACUUCGGUGGCUAGGAGAUCUUUGGGAAACUGGUUACCUUGAACUUGAUUGGAACCAACUGUUGAAAUAUUUGGAAGCCAUCUUUGGGAAACUGGUUACCUUGAACUUGAUUGGAACCAACUGUUGAAAUAUUUGGAAGCUUCAAGUGCUCCAAUGAAUACUGCAUCCUCUCGAUCUGUGAAUCGGUAAACACUUCCAUGACAACUGAAUAGCAUUCCUGAUGCCUUACAUUGUAGGCACAAUCUGUGAACAGUAAAUUUAGAUGAAAAAUGAGCCACAUCACUUUAUAAACCAAUACAGUAAUAGCAUUCAAAAUGUUUACAAGUAAAUGGAUAGGAUGAGAUGGGGGUAAAUGUGCUCAAUGUAUGCAAACUAGUUCCAGAUGACUUGAUUCUUUAUUUGAAUUGGCUGUUUAGUGCCAGAAAUUGAGAAGCCGGUACAGUGUUCUGCUGUUUUCUAAUUUUGUGUAUAAAGUUGGCUCUAAUAUGUGUACUUAGUUAUACAACCAGUUGUUGCAAGGCCUAGUUGGGUGAAUUGCAAGACUUGGGUGGGUAGGCAGCUCUAAGAAUUGAGGGUGUUUUAUGAACACUGCAAUUUCCUUUCCUAACAUCUGAAGUUCCAAAAUUUAUUUUAAGACGGCCUGGAAAAGGUCCAAAGAAGCUUUCUGGUGCAGCAAAUAGAAAAAGAAAGGCCCAGAGAAUUGCAAGUGGAUAGUUUGUGCUUCAGUGAUGCGAUUUAUGCAGUCUAGUACGACAUUAGACAGUCAGUGGCAAGACUGGGACAGUGAAAUGCUUUGAGCGGCAGAUUUCUCUGGUGCCAAGCAAUCACUUCCAGCCCAGGUGAAAGUGACAGUUCCUGCCAAAGUCCCAGCGAUGCUUGCUGUAUGGUAGAUGUUGAGAAUACUGGUACUGGAUGCAAGUCCUGAGUCGGGUGUGAUAAUGGCUCUGACCUUGCAGGUGGUAAUGCAGAGUGUGGAGCUCAGUGUCUGAGGCAUCCAUUGACUGUAUUCCUCUGUUCAGUGCUAGGAGCAAGUCAUGUAAUCUGACCAAGGAGGAAAAUAAGGAAGUCAGUCCAGUAAUGCACAGGGAAGUCUAUGGUGACCCUGGUAAAUGGCCAGAUCCCAUGGAUGAUUAAGUUUGCUGUCAAGUGCUGCAGGGCCUGUUCAGAUAAUGAAUCUGUUUCCCCUAUGAUCACCAUAGAAGAUUCAAUCCUAUCUUUUAUAAUAAACUUGCAAAUGGUGACAGUCAGAAGGUCUUGGUUGGUGUAUUCUGAAAGUAGUGACUGGAAAAAAUUGGGACAAAAGCUUACAGAACACGAGCGGUCAGUGAAACCUAAAGCAACUGCUGCUAAGUGCAGUGACUUGCAUUUGAGGCUUAAGAAUAGCUCCACCAUUGAUCACCAGCAUGAGAACAGAAGUCUGAGAAAAUACUGGAAAUGUUCUGGAAAGACUGCAAUCUCAGUACUUGUCCCAACAUAACUUGGCGUUUAGGGGUAGUGAGUAUCGACUCUUUACAAGUGGUAAUGGCAACUUCCUCUGGUUAGUGCAGCUGUUUGAUCCAGUAAUAAAAGAGCAUCUUCGUUUCAGUAAUGCUGAGAUCCAUUAUCACUACCCGGGGAGAACCAUUCAGAAUGACUUGAUAAUGUUAAUGUCCAAGUCUGACACUAUUUUGCAAAAGAUAAGAGAUGCCAAGUACUAUUCCAUUAUAUUGGAUUGCAGUCAUCAGGAACAGAUGUCACUGGCUGUCCGUAUUGCUGAAUGCAAUGAAAGUGUGGAAGCUAAGGAGUACUUGUCCUUCCUCCAGGUUACUGAGACUACUGGUGGUUUUCUGACAUUGUAUUAAAUGAACUCAAAGUUUGAGAGUUCCCCUCAAAAACUGCAGAGGUCAGAGUUAUGACAAUGGCUCUAAUAUGAAGGGGAAACAUUCUGGUGUUCAGGCAAGAAUCUGGUCUUUAAAUCAAUGUGCAUUGUUUGUACCCUGUGGCUGUCGUAAUAUCAAUCUAGUAAUUGGUGAUGCUGCAAGUCUUCAGUAGAUGCAGUUUCAUUCUUUGGUAAUCUGCAACUAACGUGCACUCUGUUUACAUCCUCUACUCAGAGGUACAAAAUAUUUCGGGAUGUCUCUGGUCUAACUAAAGCCACUGUGUGAGACCAGGUGGGAGUGUAGGGUAGAAAGUGUGAAAGCAGUGAGAUACCAAGUGGGUGCAGUUUAUGAUGCCUUAGUUUCAGUGGCAAAAGUUACAAAAGGGAAGAAUCCUAAUGCAUAUUCAGAAGCAGCAGUACAAUGAAAAGUGCUUAAGUUUUAAUAGUGCUGGUAUAAUGUAUUAAUAAAGGCUGGACAAGUCAGUAAACUUUUACAAAGCUAGUCCAUGCAAAUUGAUCAAUCAGUGAUUCUGCUUGAACUGAAAAGGUUUUUAACAGAAGGGCCACAGGGUAUGAAAAGGCAAAAGUGACUGCUACUGAGCUAGUGACCCAGGAAAGAGGACGCUUUUUGGUUAUGAAGCCAGGUUCACUCAACUUGCAGCUCAUAGUGCUGCCUUUGGCUUCCUCUACAACAUACAAGACCGCUCUGUUUCUGAUUAUAAGCUUUUGCAGCUCAAAGACUUGCAGAAUCUUUUAACCCACAAUGACUUUGCUGAUAUCGAUGCAGUAGAGCUGUAGGCGGAACUGAAAACCCUUUGCCACAUUAAUCCAAAGGGAUUCAGUGCUGGAUGUCCUUAAUAUAAUGAAAAAGCGAGGGGUAGUGGUAGCUCUGCAUUUUGUUGACUCUGCCAGUUGCAUCUGGGGCGAGAAGCUUCUCCAAACUCAAACUGAUCAAAACAUACUUAAGUACUAUGCUACAGGAUAGACUUGUGGGCUUGGCUAUUAUUUCUAUUAACGAAAUAUCUUGCCAGACUCUGCUGUUAUAAUAGCACAGUGCAAGGCAAGAAAAGUGCGGUUUUAUAAGUGGCUAGGUAUGACUCUGACAGUGUGCAAAUUUUGUAUGACUUCAGAACAGUUGUAAGCUGAAGGCGCAACAGUUCUGUAGUAUGGGAGUUCUGUAGGGAAGCACUACAGUGGAGUUGGCAGGUAAGCACAAAGUAUGGUCAGCUAUGCACUUCUAUAUUGUAACUUACCUGAAUGGCUAUAACGAAGCUGACUAACCAUGUUCUUGCAUCUGCUGAUGUUUCAGCAUGUGUACUGAAGGUAUAGUUGCCUACUGCCAAUAGGGUCACUGCCAGUCUUUGAUCAAUUAUCUGACAAUGGUACAGUAUAUUUAACAUGAAUUGUGACAAGCCUACUGUUUUUAAGUGACUCAAGACAGUUUGAACAAGUAUAACAUUUCACUGAAACAUUGCAUAUAGAAAUGUCACAGACUGUCUGUAUUGCUGAAUGCAAUGAAACUGUCGAAGGAAAUGUGUAUUUUUCUCCUUCCUCCAGGCUACUGAGACUGCUGUUGGCUUUCUCCAGUGACAUUGUGUGAAAUGAACUCAAGUUGGGGAGUUCCACUAAACUGCAGUGGCCAGGGUUAUGACAGUGGCUGUUAAUAUGAAAGGAAACUGUGUUCAGGCAAGAAUUUAAUUUGGUCUUUACAUCCACAUGCAUUUCUUGUACCCUGUGGCUGUCGGUCUCAAUCUAGUAAUUGCUGAUGCAAAGUUUUCAGAUGCAGUUUCAUUCUUUGAUAAUCUGCAAUGAAUGUACACUGUUUACAUUCUCUAACUCUGGUACAAACUAUUUUCGUCAUGUCUGGUCUAAUUGUAAAGCCACUUCGACCAGGUGGAAGUGUAGGGUAGAAAGUGUCAAAGCAGUGUGAUCUGAGGUGGGUGCACUUUGCAAUGCCUUGGUUUCAGUGGCAGAACUUACAAAAGGCAAGGAUCCUAAGGCAUAUCUGAAGCAGCAUUGCUGAGCAGUACAAGUGUUACGUUUUAGUAACACUGGUAGUGUUACGUUUUAGUAACACUGGUAGUGUGGUAUGAUGCAUUAGUAACACUGGUAGUGUGGUAUGAUGCAUUAGUGAAGGUUGGACAAGUUAGUAAAUGUUUGCAAAGCUCUUCCAUGCAAAUUGAUCAAGCAGUGAUUCUGCUUGCUGAACUGAAAAGGCUUUUAACAGAAUACAGGGUCACAAGGUACAAAAAGCAAAAGCAACUGCUACUGAGCUAGCCUAGCUGAAGCAUUGGAGGUAGGAUUGAAGUUUCCUGGUGCAGAGUAGGUGAGACACAGGAAAGAGGCUUUUUGGUUAUGUUUAAUUAUUGUAAUUAGUCCUGAGCAACAGAAGUCAACUUUCAACACUUGUUGAUGUUGCACUGUCAUCUGUGAAGGACAGGUUCACUCCGCUUACAGCUCAGUGCUACUUUUGGCUUCCUCUACAACGCACAGGAACUCUUGGUAGUUACUGAAGGCAUUUCAAUUCUGUCCGUUAACCUAUUUUGCAUUUGCUGAUAUUGAUGCAGUACAGCUGUAUGAGGAAUUAAACAGUGAUAAUCCCUUUGGAGUAAUGGCAGUGCUGGAUGUCCUUAAUGUAAUAAAUGCAUAUUCGUGGAGAUAUUACCAGAGGUAGCGCUGUGCAUUUUGUUGACACUGCAUGUGACAGUUGCAUCUGGGGAGUGAAGUUUCUCCAACCUAACAAGUACUAUGUUACGAGAAACUUGUGGGCUUGGCUAUGAUCUCCAUUAAUUGAUCUUGCCAGAUGGACUACGCUGAUAACUGAUUUGGCACAAAGUGCAGCUUUUGUAAGUAGCUGGGGAGAAUUGACAGUGUGCAUGAUUUCACAUGGGAUGUACCCUGUAGUCUGAUCCUUUCAGCGGAAGGUAUAACAAUACUGUUCAAUGCCAGAGUUCCUGUAGGGCAGCACAAAGUACCGUCAGCUAGGCACUAUUCUGUGCUGCUGUAACUGACCUACUUGGAUUGUUAGAACAAGUUGAACCCUAUUCUAUCUGCUAAUGUUUCUUCCACCAUAAUGGUGUGGUUGCACAAUGUAAGUAGGGUCAUUGCCAGUUACAGUAUCUAUACAGUGACAAGUGUGCCAACUGAACACUUGUUUUAAGUGCCUCAUGCAGACAUGAUAACAUCACAAACAUUGUCUCAGUCCAUUUUGUGAAUGCAAUGAAACUAAGGAAAGGGGUACUUUUUGUCCUUCAUGUUACUGGGACUACUUAUGGAUUUCUCACUGACUGCUUAAGUUUGGGAAUUCCACUAGAGAACUGCAGAGCCCAGGGUUAUGACAUCAUUCUGGUGUUGCAAGAAUCUUGCCUUUAAAUCCGCAUGCAUUUUUUUGUACCAUCAGGCUGUCUCAAUCUUGUAAUUAGUGAUGCUGCAAAGUCUUCAAUAGAUGUUUCAUUCUUUGGUAAUCUGCAACUAAUGUACACUUCUCGUGAUCAUGUCGGGUCUAACUUUAAAGCCACUUUGAGACCAGGUGGAAGUGUAGGGUAGGAAGUGUCAAAGCAGUGUGAUCUGAAGUGGGUGCACUUUCCAAUGCCUUGGUUUCAGUGGCAGAACUUUAACGAUAAGGAUCCUAAGGCAUAUCUGAAGCAGCAUGGCUGAGUAGUACAAGAAGUGCUAAGUUUUUAAUAGUGCUGGUGGUCUGGUAUGAUGUAUUGGUGAAGGUUGGACAAGUCGGUAAAUGUUUGCAAAGCUCUUCCAGGCAAAUUGAUCAAGCAGUGAUUCUGCUUAAUGAACUGAAAAGUAUUUUAAUAUAGUACAGGGCCACAAGGUACAAAAAAGCAAAAGUAACUACUACUGAGCUAGCUGAAGCACUGGAGGUAGACUUGCAGUUUCCUGGUGCAGAUGAGGCGAGACCCAGGAAAGUGGAGGCUUAUCAACCAAAUGACUAGUCCUGAACAGAAUAGUCAAACUUCAACACUUGUUGUUGUAAUCUGUGAAGGACAGGUUCAUUCAAUGUGCACCUCAGUGCUACUUUUGGCUUCCUCUACAACAUACAGCAACUCUUGGUAGUUACUGAGAUGUCUGUAACCCACAUCUCAUUACUCCGUUAUCAGUGCUGGAUGUCAGUGUAAUAAAGCGCGCAUUAGUGAAGAUAUUCCCACAGGUCAUGGUAGCUCUGAACAUUUUGUUGACACUGCUAAUGUCAGUUGCAUCUGGCGAUAGAAGCUUCUCUAAGCUGCAACUAACUUGAGUACUAUGUGACAAGAUAGACUUGUGGGCUUGGCUAUGGCCUCAAUUAAUGAGGUAUCUUGACAGACUGAUAUAAUUGAUUUGCUCAGUGCAAGGCAUAAGUGCAGCUUUAGUAAAUAGCUAGGUAGGGAAAGGAAUAGUGUGCAAAUUAUGCAUGAUUUCGCGUCUGAUUUACCCUGUAGUAAAGAUUUUAGUGUAAGGCAUAACAAUUGUGCAGUAUGCCACAGUUCCUGUAGGGAAGCUUCAGAGUACUGUCAGUUGUGCACUGUUCUCUACUACUGUGAUCUGAAUGGCUAUGCAUCUGCUAAUGUUUCGGGGACUUGGCUAGGUUUGUAUAGAACCUAGGGCUGAUUUUAGGUUCAUUGUGUAGUUGCAUAAUGCCAAUAGGGUCAGUGUAAGGCAUAUCUGAAGCAGCAUGGCUGAGUAGUACAAGAAGUGCUAAGUUUUUAAUAGUGCUGGUGGUCUGGUAUGAUGUAUUAGUGAAGGUUGGACAAGUCAGUAAAUGUUUGCAAAGCUCUUCAGGCAAACUGAUCAAGCAGUGAUUCUGCUUGAUGAACUGAAGGUAUUUUAAUAUAGUACAUGGCCACAAGGUACAAAAAAGCAAAAGUAACUACUACUGAGCUAGCUGAAGCACUGGAGGUAGAAUUGCAGUUUCCUGGUGCAGAUGAGGCGAGACCCAGGAAAGUGGAGGCUUUUAUCAACCAAAUGACUAGUCCUGAACAGAAUAGUCAACUUUCAACACUCUUGUUGUAAUCUGUGAAGGACAGGUUCAUUCAAUGUGCACCUCAGUGCUACUUUUGGCUUCCUCUACAACAUACAGCAACUCUUGGUAGUUACUGAAGGUAUUUCAAUUCUGUCUGUAACCCACUUUGAAUCUGAUAUUGAUGCAGUACAGCUGUAGGAGGAAUUUAACACCAUCUCAUUACUCUGAUUAUCAGUGCUGGAUGUCAGUGUAAUAAAGCGUGCAUUAGUGAAGAUAUUCCCACAGGUCAUGGUGGCUCUGAACAUUUUGUUGACACUGCUAAUGUCAGUUGCAUCUGGCAGUAGAAGCUUCUUCAAGCUACAACUAACUUAAGUACUAUGUGACAAGAUAGACUUGUGGGCUUGGCUAUGACCUUGAGGUAUCUUGACAGACUAUAAUUGAUUUGCUCAGUGCAAGGCAUAAGCGCAGCUUUAGUAAUUAGCUAGCUAGGGAAAUGAAUAGUGUGCAAAUUAUGCAUGAUUUCACGUCUGAUUUACCCUGUAGUCAAGAUUUUAGUGUAAGGCAUAACAAUUGUGCAGUAUGAAAGAGUUCCUGUAGGGAAGCUUCAGCGUACUGUCAGUUGUGCACUGUUCUCUACUACUGUGACUUACCUGAAUGGCUAUGCAUCUGCUAAUGUUUUGGGGACUUGGUAAUGGCUAGGUUUGUAUAGAACCUAGGGCUGAUUUUAGGUUCAUUGUGUAGUUGCAUAAUGCCAAUAGGGUUAGUGCCCGUCUUUAAUAAAUUACUAGACAAUGGAUGCACUAUCUUUCAGAGGGAAUGUGCCAAGACUGCAGUAGAUGUGGCAGUUUGUACAAGUGUAACAUUUCACUGUGAAACAUUGCAUAUAGAAAUGUACAUUAAAUGGCAUCAGGGGAAUAAAACCAAACAUUUACAAUGUCUGAAGCAUGAAAUGAACCAGCUAAAUGAAUGUCUUGACAUUACUCAAGUGGACCUGACAGUUUGGCAAGUUAAACAUUUUAACAGUCAUACAGUCAUACAUUACAUAGAAAUAUGCUUAGUAGCCAGCAAUGAAAUAAAAUCUGACUAUUUCAAUGUCUUUAACAUGAGCUAUGCCUAACCUUUUCAAAAUUACUCAAGCAGACCAGACACUUUUUGUCCAUGUUACACAUUUAUUGUAAAGUAUUGCAUAUAGAAAUGUAUGAAUAGCAGCAAAUAAAAUGACACAUUUUGAUGUCCAACAUGAAGUGCAUCAACUGAAAACUAAUGUCGUCAACUUCAGUGGAUCAAGUUUUGUACAAGUUCACUUUUUACUGUAACACUGCAUUUAGAAAUGUACAUCUAAUAGCCAGCAAAGGAAUACUUUGACAAUUUCUUUCACAUGAAGGGUGUCAAUUCAAGUGGACCUCACACAUUUCAUUGUCAAACAUGACAUAUAGAAAUGUACAUCUAAUGGCAGCCGUGGAAUAAAACCUGACUACAGUGUCUGAAGCAUGAACUGAACCAGCUCAAUGAAUGUCUUGAAGUUACUCAUCUGGACCUGCCACUUGCAAGUUAAACAUUUAACUGUCAAACAUUGCAUAUAGAAAUGUCUAGUAGCCAGCAAUUUAAAUAAAAUCUGACUAUUUAAAUGUCUUUAGCAUUAAUUGUGCCAACAAACCCAAUGUUUUAAAUCAAGCAGAUUGGACAGUUUGUACAAGUGAAACGCUUAUUGUUGAAGACUGCAGUUAGAAAUGUUCAUCUUUUGGCCAGCAAAGAAAUAAUUAAAUGACAAUUUCCAAUCACUUUCAUAUGAAGUGACAAUUCAAGUGUACCUGGCAGUUUAGGCAAGUGUCAAACCUUGCAUAUAGAACUGUACAUGUAAUGGGACAGACAAUAUUAAAAUUUCAUGUCUAGUAGCCAGCAAUGAAAUAAAAUCUGACUAUUUCAA